GUGCCAGCCGCCGCGGUAAUACGGAGGGUGCAAGCGUUAAUCGGAAUUACUGGGCGUAAAGCGCGCGUAGGCGGUUUGCUAAGUCAGAUGUGAAAUCCCCGGGCUUAACCUGGGAACUGCAUUUGAGACUGGUAGGCUAGAGUGUGGUAGAGGUGAGUGGAAUUUCAGGUGUAGCGGUGAAAUGCGUAGAGAUCUGAAGGAACAUCAGUGGCGAAGGCGACUCACUGGGCCAUUACUGACGCUGAGGUGCGAAAGCGUGGGUAGCAAACAGGAUUAGAAACCCCGGUAGUCC
rnacentral:rRNA from 1 species